GGCUAUGCAAGUCGAGCGGAGCACAAGGAACUUGUUCCUUGGGUGGCGAGCGGGACGGGUGAGUAAUGCCUAGGAAAUUGCCCUGAUGUGGGGGAUAACAUUGGAAACGAUGGCUAAUACCGCAUGAUGCCUACGGGCCAAAGAGGGGGACCUUCGGGCCUCUCGCGUCGGAAUGCCUAGUGGGAUUAGCUAGUUGGUGAGGUAAUGGCUCACCAAGCGACGAUCCCUAGCUGGUCUGAGAGGAUGAUCACCACACUGGAACUGAGACACGGUCCAGACUCCUACGGGAGGCAGCAGUGGGGAAUAUUGCACAAUGGGCGCAAGCCUGAUGCAGCCAUGCCGCGUGUAUGAAGAAGGCCUUCGGUUGUAAAGUACUUUCAGUCGUGAGGAAGGUGGUGUUGUUAAUAGCAGCAUCAUUUGACGUUAGCGACAGAAGAAGCACCGGCUAACUCCGUGCCAGCAGCCGCGGUAAUACGGAGGGUGCGAGCGUUAAUCGGAAUUACUGGGCGUAAAGCGCAUGCAGGUGGUGGAUUAAGUCAGAUGUGAAAGCCCGGGGCUCAACCUCGGAACCGCAUUUGAAACUGGUUCACUAGAGUACUGUAGAGGGGGGUAGAAUUUCAGGUGUAGCGGUGAAAUGCRUAGAGAUCUGAAGGAAUACCGGUGGCGAAGGCGGCCCCCUGGACAGAUACUGGCACUCAGAUGCGAAAGCGUGGGGAGCAAACAGGAUUAGAUACCCUGGUAGUCCACGCCGUAAACGAUGUCUACUUGGAGGUUGUGGCCUUGAGCCGUGGCUUUCGGAGCUAACGCGUUAAGUAGACCGCCUGGGGAGUACGGUCGCAAGAUUAAAACUCAAAUGAAUUGACGGGGGCCCGCACAAGCGGUGGAGCAUGUGGUUUAAUUCGAUGCAACGCGAAGAACCUUACCUACUCUUGACAUCCAGAGAAUUCGCUAGAGAUAGCUUAGUGCCUUCGGGAGCUCUGAGACAGGUGCUGCAUGGUGUCGUCAGCUCGUGUGUGAAUGUUGGGUUAAGUCCCGCAAGCGCAACCUUAUCCUUAUUUGCCAACGUAGGGACUUUGGGAGACUGGCAUAAGGUGGACACAUCAUGUAACAGGG
rnacentral:rRNA from 1 species